GAGUUUGAUCUUGGCUCAGAUUGAACGCUGGCGGCAUGCCUUACACAUGCAAGUCGAACGGUAACAGGUCUUCGGAUGCUGACGAGUGGCGAACGGGUGAGUAAUACAUCGGAACGUGCCCGAUCGUGGGGGAUAACGGAGCGAAAGCUUUGCUAAUACCGCAUACGAUCUACGGAUGAAAGCAGGGGACCGCAAGGCCUUGCGCGGACGGAGCGGCCGAUGGCAGAUUAGGUAGUUGGUGGGAUAAAAGCUUACCAAGCCGACGAUCUGUAGCUGGUCUGAGAGGACGACCAGCCACACUGGGACUGAGACACGGCCCAGACUCCUACGGGAGGCAGCAGUGGGGAAUUUUGGACAAUGGGCGAAAGCCUGAUCCAGCCAUGCCGCGUGCAGGAUGAAGGCCUCGGUUGUAAC
rnacentral:rRNA from 1 species